rnacentral:rRNA from 1 species
GACAGAGGGGGCAAGCGUUGCUCGGAAUUACUGGGCGUAAAGGGCGCGUAGGCGGGAUGGCAAGUCGGUCGUGAAAUCCCUCGGCUCAACUGAGGAGCGUCGAUCGAAACUGCCGUUCUUGAGGGUUGCAGAGGAGACUGGAAUUCCCGGUGUAGCGGUGAAAUGUGUAGAGAUCGGGAGGAACACCGGUGGCGAAGGCGGGUCUCUGGGCCUUACCUGACGCUGAGGAGCGAAAGCGUGGGGAGCGAACAGG